rnacentral:rRNA from 1 species
CAGCAGCCGCCACGGUAAUACGUAGGUGGCAAGCGUUGUCCGGAAUGAUUGGGCGUAAAGGGCGCGCAGGCGGCUGUGUAAGUCUGUCUAGAAAGUGCGGGGCUAAACCCCGUGAGAGGAUGGAAACUGGACAGCUGAGAGUGUCGGAGAGGAAAGCGGAAUUCCUAGUGUAGCGGUGAAAUGCGUAGAUAUUAGGAGGAACACCGGUGGCGAAAGCGGCUCUCUGGCUUGUAACUGACACUGAGGCUCGAAAGCCAGGGGAGCGAACGGGAUUAGAUACCCCUGUAGUCCCUGUCUCUUAUAA